CUCUCUCUCUCUCUCUCUCUCUCUCUCUCUCUCUCUCUCUCUUUUUUUCUUAAUUCCUCUUAAACGUUUCAGACCCGUGAUCCAAUAGGGCUGGCUGGAUCUAAGUGUUUUAUUUUCAACACUUCUUUGCAAAAUUAAGAAAAACUGGCUGGUCUAGUUUAGAGAAGAAAGCGAAUGUGAGAGUAUUUUCAUGAGGCAUUCCAGCACCAAAGCCUUUGCUUUUGGUGAUAGACUGCUGUAAUUUUGAAAUCAUUUUAUACCACGCUAACGCUCUCAAUGUCCAGUUUUCUUCUCAGACUGCUUAAAACAACAACCACGGCCACCCGCUUUUGUGAAAGAUGGGAUUGGAAUCAACAAAAGGAAAGCUAGCCGUGGACGUUACUCAGCAAGGCUAGGUUAAGCUGGUCUGUGUUCUUCCAGAACAUACCGUUGAGGAUUUCAGCCAUCUCAGCCUGGCAACAUGGGGUUGCCUUGGCCUUCUUUGUGAAGAGCAGCCACGCGUUCCCUUCUCCAAAGCUGAACGUCGUCCCAAACGCACUGGAUCCUUCUGACGAGCCUUUCUUUGUGUGGCACACAGGAAGGGACGGGCCAUGAAUAUGCAAUGGCUCACAUGUACUGUUGUCUUCUGCAAAAAAUCCCAAAAGGGUGCUCUGAUCCCAGGGUUGGGAGCCCAUUUCUGAUUUCAGCCUAGACAGGUCUGCUGAAAACCAUAAUCAAGCUGAUUGUAUUGCCCUGGAAUUCUAAUUUCCAAUUUAGGGGUUUGCUAUAUAAUCUCUAGUAGAGUGUGUCUAAUCUUCAUGAAACCCAGAGUCUUUAUAUAAACUCUAUGGAUUUCCUUCCAUGUGUCUAGGCCGAGUGGAGCUGUGUCUUUAGGCUGAGCUGGAGAGACAUUAAAUUACUGAGUUACAUGAAGGCAGCGUUGUGAAGUCGCUCUCUUUUUGAAAGACCAACUCAAAUUCUAUAUGCUGCAGCUUUGAUCCUUUUCAUUCAAUUCUAAGUACACUUGUUAUUAUAGUAACUGUUGUUUGUAUGUUAUUUUAGCUUUUUACUUAAGUAGCUAUUUAGCAAUUUAAAUGAAAAUGUAAUUAGGUUACAUCUGUUUUACAUGCAUGUAAUACCACGCAGAUGUAAACUUCUAUUAAAGCCAUACUUUCUUUUUGGCAAGAAAAGGCAAAAACAAAAUUGCACCCAUCACUGGAGUACGUCCUGCUCUUUAAAAAAAAAAAGUAUACACAAAGCGCCGUGCGAUAUUUUAUGCGGUGGUGAGAGUGUAUCACUUCUAUUUUUCAAAAAAGUGAAAGAACCAACAAGUGCCUUAUAAUUUAUCUGGAUGCAGAGUUGAAAAGGACAGUGUCCUGUGGGUUUGUGCAGACAGGGGUGCAUCCACCUGUACGUCAUACUCGCUGGCUCUUACAACCCACGCGUGGCGGGAAGGGCCACAGGGCCACCUGGGGUCACACCUAGUUCUGCGUUCACCUGACUUCGACAAAGCCACUUCACUUUUCUCUGUGCUUGUUAAAAACCCGAGGAGUAGUAAUAUUGGCCCAACCUGCCUCCCGGGCUUGUCAUGAGGAGCAAGUGAGAUAACGAGGGUGCAGGUAUUUUGAACAGUAUAAAAUAGAGUGGUGAGCGGAUCUGUCUGCAAACAGCCCCUCCCCUCUGCCCCCCCCCCCCCCCACCUUUUGUAGGCACAAUGGGGAUUGAACUCCGAAAUUAGUUCUCCUGUUUUGGGAACCACGGCCUCCCUUAUAGCCUGUUAAUAGGAUUUAUAAAACAUCAUUUCAGACAAAGUCACUUAUCUUAUUUGCUAACGAGACACAGAAUUUGGACUGUCUGGAACCAGGUAGUAUUUUAAGAGCUGCCCAUUUGUCCCAUACAUGCUCAGUAUUUCAAUGCAGCCAUUUUUAACGGUGGUUUUUAUGGUGUCAGUAAAAAUAUUUUCAUAUAAUUCUUCCUUGUAAAUAUGGUUAAACUUUUAGCUUUCUGCUACUUGGUGACCUGUUAAAUGACUUAAUGUGCCUUCAAAUUGAUCGUUCAGCACCAAGACAAUAAGCAGCCAGGAGGAGCCAGGUUUAUGGCAUUUUGCUCUUUUGUGUCGGGGCCUUAAGCUGAGCUAUGAGAGGAAAAAAAAAAAAAGUCUAGCAGAGUUUGCAAUAUUCAACUUCUUAGAGUUUUUUCAUCUCGGAUUCUCAAAGAGGGAGCAUGGACGAUAAUGCUUCCUUCUCUUUUGUCCCUGUUUUAAGAAGCUAAUGUCUUAGAUGGCAAGGAAAGGAAAUAUUCCCUCCACGUAGCGAUAGACCUGCCAUCCAUCUGACGCUAUGUGCCAAGUGCUGUUCUAAGCGCUUCCUGCAUUGUUUAAUCCUUUACGGCAAAUUCACGGGGUAGGUAGCAUUGUCAUCCCUCAUUCUUGCGGUAAAGAAAUUGGACCCCACCCCCCGCCACCCCGCCGAGAAGUUAAGAAUCUUUUCCAAGGUUAUAGCGCUAAUAAGCGAUAGAAGGAGGACUUUUAACCCGGACAGUUUGGCAUUGAUGCCUAGUGUUACCGCGUGUCAUACUAGGGUUUGUUGUUGUGGUGGUUGUUAUUCCUUUGUUUUUGUUGUCUGCUAUCACCUGAAUCAAGCAUCUGUGACCUAGAAAGAAUCUUCAGAUACUCUUUCUCCCUGCCUUCCACUCUUCCAAGUUCAGAAAAAUACACGUGGAAGCCCUCGGUACCCCAGAAAUGAAAAUAAAUACUACGCAGUACUCAUGAUACUUGGGGUUUAGUUCAUGGGGGCUUUGGGUGAGGAAGUCUGGAGGAAUAGAAUGCCAAGGAGGAUGAAAUACAUACUAAAUAAAGAUUCGGCUGACGGCUCUGGGAGCACAGCCGAGAGAGUAGUCAAGAUGGGGGGGAGAAGCUUCUUUUGACCUGGACAUGGAAGAAUGUAGGGGAUCGUGAUGCGCGAAGGAGGCAGGCGGUAUGUCAAGCUUCAGGAACAGAGUGAGCAAAGACGUGGAGAAAAGAAACCACAAGCUGGCCUGUUGCACUUGGGAAAGCAAGAUGUGGCGAAACCUCACGUGGGCACUGGCAGAAAGAGCGCCAGGCCGGAAAGAGAAAGAGAUCACCCAGG